rnacentral:lncRNA from 1 species
GAUGGAGGCCGAUGGUAGAAGACGAAGGAAGGAGGUGGGCAGAGACCCAGACGGAGGGAUCAGAGACCCGGAGAGUGACAGAGAGACCCAUUGAGAGGGGACACAGAUCCAGACCGAAAGAGCAAAAGAAACCCAGGGAAAGAGAGGGACAGAGACACAGAUAAAGAGGGAGACAGAGACCCACAGAAGGGGGAGAGACGCGAGUGUACAGAUACGGAGUUGGGCAGAGGCCAGAGUCAGAGAGAGAGAGAGAGAGAGAGAGAAAUAAAUGAAGGCGAGUGGCACCUAAGGAAGUUGCAAGAGGUAAGCAGGGAGGGGAGGAAGGAAGGGGAAUCAAACCCUUGCCCCUGUAUCCCCAUCGCCUUGUCCAUCCAGCGAGGGCCCCUAUCCAGGCCCGGCUCUUCCCCGACCGGACUCUGAGAGCACUGUGGCCCACUGUCUGUCUCCUCCAGCCCGCCACCUCACUUGCCCAUUCCGGAAAGGAGCUGCAGUCAACGCUUGGAACCCCUGGCCUUACCCGGUGCAGAGACUGGAUCAGAAACGAGGACAAUUGGGAGGUAGGUGGAGGAGGGACAGGGGCCUGGAGGAGGUGGGCACUCACUUAACAGAGGCGGCGCUAGGCCAGCGGCGUCCCAGCUUGGCCAGCUGCUUCCUGGGAGAAUUGAUCCACAAGCCCACGGGGAGGUGGAGCUUCCCGAAGCGGGGGCUUCCGCCCUCUUUCCGUUCACCAGAUAGCAUGGCCCUAAGGACGGAUGGGUAAGACCCCAACUCCUGAGGCCCCGAGUAGUGGGGAUUGGGAUGGAGGGGCCUGGGGCUCAAACUCCCGAGUUUGGGUGGAGGAGAAGGAUGGGAGCUAAGCUCCUGGGUGCUGGGAUGGGAGAUGGGUGGGGACUGGCCACUGGGUCUGAGGGAGGAGGGGUCUGGACUUCAGGGUCCCUGGUUCUUACCCUGCUUCAGGUCCCAACAGCACCCCGGGGCCCUGGCUCCGUUGGCCCUGGUUGCUUCCUGACCCCGCUGUUCCCGUUCAGCCUUUGCCUCUGCCCCGGCUCCCAGCACUGGGUGGGGGACAGGAAAAGGCGAGAGGAAACCCGGCAGGAAGAGCUGGGAGGGGGCGUCCUGUGAGGGGACCGGGCCUGGGGGAGGAGAUCUGCGUAGGGCAGGCCCUUCUCUACUCCUUGAUUCUGGAAUGACAUCUCAGCUAGUUGGGCACUGCCUUGACACAGGGAACUGACUUCCCAGUCUCUCCGAGGACAGGAGACCCG